UGCCCGCAGGCGCACGGUAACGCGCCGCAGUGCUAGUGUCUGGCUGCAGGGGGGAUCCAGGUCGCGCUACCUGUCUGGCCGCUGCCGCCUCCAUCUUCGUCACGCCCCACAGGCUGGGAAGCGGCGGCCUGGAGCUGCCUCCCUACAAGGCUUCUCGGCUCCGGGUCGUCACCCCUCCGCACUCUGACGGUGCACCACUCUGGAGGCUUAUUAUCCCUCUCCAUAUAAGAUGACACUGAUAUCGACUAAGGGGCAUGUACAUUCAGAACAGGUUUACUCUUAAGUUUUCAUCCAAAAUUUUGAAUAUCCAAAACAGACCUGAAGAAUAAGUAACAACCAAUUUUAUAUACUGUUUUUCUCCAAAUACGUAACUGCCACCAAACUGUGGAGAAGAGAGAAAAACCUGCCCAAACCCACAGCAGCUGGAGACCCACCUGCCUGAUGCACCAGAACCAGCAACACCAGGAGGAAAAAGGAUGCCGCAGGAACUACAUUUUAUCAGCAGCUAUUCAGUCUGGAUCAGACUGCCCCGCAGCUGCACGGGUAUUUCUGGCCUGCCAUGUAGACUGGAGGGAGUGCAAGGACAGGCUGGGAGAGAGCGCCCAGAUGCAGGAAAACCCGGAGGCUGAAGGACAGGUUCCAGAGGAUGGGGAGCUGGCUGCUUGCCAAUGUAAGAGCUCAGAGGGACUCUAGAAAGCCAGGAGACACCGGCGCUGAGCCUGCAGCAGGAAAAGCGGCAGAAGCUGGUAGGAAGCCUUGCUGGGGACAAGCCGGCGACAGGAGAGGCGGCCAUACUUAGUUUAAGAAAAUAGACUUCAAGGAAAAGAAACAACUGAUGGGGAGAACAAAGAGCACCGUCAUACCCUAGACUGGGAAAGAGAGAAGGAUGCAUCUGGUUAAUUCAUGCUGGCCUGUAUGAGGAUUAGGACAAAAAUA